GACGAACGCUGGCGGCGUGCUUAACACAUGCAAGUCGAACGCUGAAGCGCAGCUUUUGUUGGGUGGAUGAGUGGCGAACGGGUGAGUAACACGUGAGUAACCUGCCCACUUCUUUGGGAUAACGCCCGGAAACGGGUGCUAAUACUGGAUAUUCACUGGUCUUCGCAUGGGGGUUGGUGGAAAGGGUUUUUCUGGUGGGGGAUGGGCUCGCGGCCUAUCAGCUUGGUGGAGGGGUGAUGGCCGACCAAGGCUGUGACGGGUAGCCGGCCUGGGAGGGUGACCGGUCCCGUGGGGACUGCGAUACGGCCCAGACUCCUACGGGGGGCAGCUGUGGGGCAUAGUGCGCAAUGGGCGCAAGCCUGAUGCAGCGACGCCGCGUGAGGGAUGGCGUCCUUCGGGUUGUGAACCUCUGUCGCUCAUGGUCAAGCCGCAACAAUGGUUGUGGUGAGGGUAGUGGGUAAAGAAGCGCCGGCGACCUACUU
rnacentral:rRNA from 1 species